rnacentral:rRNA from 1 species
UUGGAUCCAGACUUGAUAUGGCUCAGGAUGAACGCUGGCGGCGUGCCUAACACAUGCAAGUCGAACGAAGCUUGACGGAUGAUUUCUUCGGAAUGAAACCUGAUAUGACUUAGUGGCGGACGGGUGAGUAACACGUGAGCAACCUGCCUUUCAGAGGGGGAUAACGGCUGGAAACGGUCGCUAAUACCGCAUGACGUGUUCGGAUGGCAUCAUCUGAACAUCAAAGAUUUAUCGCUGAAAGAUGGGCUCGCGUCUGAUUAGAUAGUUGGUGGGGUAACGGCCUACCAAGUCUACGAUCAGUAGCCGGACUGAGAGGUUGAACGGCCACAUUGGGACUGAGAUACGGCCCAGACUCCUACGGAAGGCAGCAGUGGGGAAUAUUGCACAAUGGGGGAAACCCUGAUGCAGCAACGCCGCGUGAAGGAUGACGGUUUUCGGAUUGUAAACUUCUUUUCUUAGUGACGAAGACAGUGACGGUAGCUAAGGAAUAAGCAUCGGCUAACUACGUGCCAGCAGCCGCGGUAAUACGUAGGAUGCAAGCGUUAUCCGGAUUUACUGGGUGUAAAGGGAGCGCAGGCGGGACUGCAAGUUGGAUGUGAAAUACCGUGGCUUAACCACGGAACUGCAUCCAAAACUGUAGUUCUUGAGUGAAGUAGAGGCAAGCGGAAUUCCGAGUGUAGCGGUGAAAUGCGUAGAUAUUCGGAGGAACACCAGUGGCGAAGGCGGCUUGCUGGGCUUUAACUGACGCUGAGGCUCGAAAGUGUGGGGAGCAAACAGGAUUAGAUACCCUGGUAGUCCACACUGUAAACGAUGAUAGCUAGGUGUGGGGGGUCUGACCCCUUCCGUGCCGGAGUUAACGCAAUAAGCUAUCCACCUGGGGAGUACGACCGCAAGGUUGCAACUCAAAGGAAUUGACGGA